rnacentral:rRNA from 1 species
AUACAGAGGGGGCAAGCGUUGUUCGGAAUUACUGGGCGUAAAGGGCGCGUAGGCGGCCCGCUAAGUCGAACGUGAAAUCCCCGAGCUCAACUCGGGAACUGCGUCCGAUACUGGCGGGCUUGAAUCCGGGAGAGGGAUGCGGAAUUCCAGGUGUAGCGGUGAAAUGCGUAGAUAUCUGGAGGAACACCGGUGGCGAAGGCGGCAUCCUGGACCGGCAUUGACGCUGAGGCGCGAAAGCUAGGGGAGCAAACG